AAUUCAAGAGCAACCCACAGUAUAUGUUCCAAAUGGGCUCGCUGAUCCUGCUUGCUUCUCCCCAGGGCUCCAGACUCAGGCUGACGUUCCUACUGUGCAUUUCCAUGAUGAUCUAUACAGCACCAUGCUCAUCAGUGUCUCUUCUGUUCAAACCAUUCCAGAGGCAAAACAACAACCACCACCAAGCCAGAGUAACUUGGCUCCUGCCAUUCAACCUGUGGUUCUCCUGCCAGAGGAUGGCUGCACAAUAAACCUUGGACGAGGAAGGAUCUCUGGAUCUCAAAGACUCUUACAAGAAACAGACCAUCAUUUUAAAAUUGCAGGGUUAUCCACCUUGCUUUGGGCUCAUGGAGUCAGUGAGAUGAGAAGACACAAUCCAGGCUGGAAGGACGGGAAAGGACAGAAGAUGCAGUUUCAAAUCCAGGAGAUUCUGGGAGACACACUUCAGGAAGAGGACAGAGCAUCACCUCUGCUCUGCAAGCCCUCUGCAGGCAUUUCUCCAUCCCCACGUCCUUCGGUGAAAACUCAAAGUUCAGAAAGGAGCCUGCGUCACAGGAGUGUAGAUUACACGGCAACAGAAGGGACAUUGGCUUUAGCAGAACUGGGUGGGAAGGCCAUGGUCACCAGGGGAGAGACGGCUCUCCAUUAGAGACCAGAGUGGUCUUCAGAGAAUAGGGUCAGCAGCCACUAAUCACAGAAGACCUCCACCAUUUUCAAACCUGAGUUACACCUUCCCAGAAGUCCA
rnacentral:lncRNA from 1 species